UGAAUACGAGACGCUAAGGCGUCGAAGUAGUGUAUGUCAUACUUCCAAGAAAAGCUUGCACUGUCAUAGAUAAAAAACGCCUGUACCAUAACCGACACAGGUGGGCAGGUAGAGUAUACUAAGGGGCGCGAGAUAACUCUCUCUAAGGAACUCGGCAAAAUAACUCCGUAACUUCGGGAGAAGGAGUGCCUUAUUCGUAAGGUUGCAAUAACAAGAUCCAAGCAACUGUUUAUCAAAAACACAGGUCUCCGCUAAGUCGUAAGACGAUGUAUGGGGGCUGACGCCUGCCCAGUGCCAGAAGGUUAAAGAAGUUGGUUAGCAAUUGCGAAGCUGAUAACUGAAGCCCUGGUGAACGGCGGCCGUAACAAUAACGGUCCUAAGGUAGCGAAAUUCCUUGUCGGGUAAGUUCCGACCCGCACGAAAGGCGUAAUGAUUUGGAUACUGUCUCGGAGAGGGGCUCGGUGAAAUAGACUUGUCUGUGAAGAUGCGGACUACCUGCACCAGGACAGAAAGACCCUAUGAAGCUUUACUGUAACUUGAAAUUGAAAUUGGACUUUAUUCGCGCAGCAUAGGUGGGAGGCGUUGAUUAUAAUCUUGCGGGAUUAUUGGAGCCAUCAGUGAGAUACCACUCUUGUAAUGUUAGAUUUCUAACUUUGAAUCAUUAUCUGGUCAAAGAACAGUUUCAGGCGGGCAGUUUGACUGGGGCGGUCGCCUCCUAAACGGUAACGGAGGCGUACAAAGGUUUCCUCUGAACGGUUAGAAAUCGUAUCUAGAGUGUAAAGGCAUAAGGAAGCUUGACUGUGAGACCUACAAGUCGAGCAGGGACGAAAGUCGGUCUUAGUGAUCUGACGGUACUGAGUGGAAAGGCCGUCACUCAACGGAUAAAAGUUACUCUAGGAUAACAGGCUGAUCUCCCCCAAGAGUUCACAUCGACGGGGAGGUUUGGCACCUCGAUGUCGGCUCAUCGCAUCCUGGGGCGGUAGUACGUCCCAAGGGUUGGGCUGUUCGCCCAUGAAAGCGGUACGCGAGCUGGGUUCAGAACGUCGUGAGACAGUUCGGUCCAUAUCCGGUGUAGGCGUUAGAAUAUUGAGAGGAGCCUUCUUUAGUACGAGAGGACCGAGAAGGACAUACCUCUGGUGUACCAGUUAUCGUGCCAACGGUAAACGCUGGGUAGCUAUGUAUGGAGUGGAUAACCGCUGAAAGCAUCUAAGUGGGAAGCCCACCUCAAGAUAAGUAUUCUCAC
rnacentral:rRNA from 1 species